rnacentral:sRNA from 2 species
AUGUGUUAGCGAUUGAACGGUUUGUUUGAGCUCUCCAAACGGAAACCGUUUGGAAGCGAGUAGUGAAAGCGCGACCGCGA